rnacentral:rRNA from 1 species
GACGAACGCUGGCGGCGUGCUUAACACAUGCAAGUCGAACGGAAAGGCCCUGCUUUUGUGGGGUGCUCGAGUGGCGAACGGGUGAGUAACACGUGAGUAACCUGCCCUUGACUUUGGGAUAACUUCAGGAAACUGGGGCUAAUACAGGAUAGGAGCUCCUGCUGCAUGGUGGGGGUUGGAAAGUUUCGGCGGUUGGGGAUGGACUCGCGGCUUAUCAGCUUGUUGGUGGGGUAGUGGCUUACCAAGGCUUUGACGGGUAGCCGGCCUGAGAGGGUGACCGGCCACAUUGGGACUGAGAGACGGCCCAGACUCCUACGGGAGGCAGCAGUGGGGAAUAUUGCACAAUGGGCGGAAGCCUGAUGCAGCAACGCCGCGUGCGGGAUGACGGCCUUCGGGUUGUAAACCGCUUUCGCCUGUGACGAAGCGUGAGUGACGGUAAUGGGUAAAGAAGCACCGGCUAACUACGUG